UACGUAGGGUGCGAGCGUUGUCCGGAAUUAUUGGGCGUAAAGAGCUCGUAGGCGGUGUGUCACGUCGGCCGUGAAAACCUGCAGCUUAACUGUGGGCGUGCGGUCGAUACGGGCAUCACUGGAGUUCGGCAGGGGAGACUGGAAUUCCUGGUGUAGCGGUGAAAUGCGCAGAUAUCAGGAGGAACACCGGUGGCGAAGGCGGGUCUCUGGGCCGAUGACUGACGCUGAGGAGCGAAAGCGUGGGGAGCAAACAGG
rnacentral:rRNA from 1 species